AGAGUUUGAUCCUGGCUCAGGAUGAACGCUAGCGAUAGGCCUAACACAUGCAAGUCGAGGGGCAGCACUGGCGAGUAGCAAUACUUGCCUGGUGGCGACCGGCGGAUGGGUGAGUAACACGUAUGCAACCUGCCUACAACAAGGGCAUAACUCCGGGAAAUCGGUGCUAAUUCCCUAUAACACAGGGGCCCCGCAUGGGGAUAUUUGUUAAAGAUUAAUCGGUUGUAGAUGGGCAUGCGUUCCAUUAGCUAGUUGGUGAGGUAAUGGCUCACCAAGGCAACGAUGGAUAGGGGAACUGAGAGGUUUAUCCCCCACACUGGUACUGAGACACGGACCAGACUCCUACGGGAGGCAGCAGUGAGGAAUAUUGGUCAAUGGAGGCAACUCUGAACCAGCCACGUCGCGUGAAGGAAGACGGCCCUACGGGUUGUAAACUUCUUUUGUAAGGGAAUAAAGUGAGUCACGCGUGACUUUUUGCAUGUACCUUACGAAUAAGGAUCGGCUAACUCCGUGCCAGCAGCCGCGGUAAUACGGAGGAUCCGAGCGUUAUCCGGAUUUAUUGGGUUUAAAGGGUGCGCAGGCGGGAGACUCAGUCGGUGGUGAAAUCUUGCAGCUCAACUGUAAGCGUGCCAUUGAUACUGGUCUUCUUGAGUGUGGAUGAAGUAGGCGGAAUUUGUGGUGUAGCGGUGAAAUGCAUAGAUAUCACGAGGAACUCCGAUUGCGUAGGCAGCUUACUAAACCAUAACUGACGCUCAUGCACGAAGGCGUGGGGAUCAAACAGGAUUAGAUACCCUGGUAGUCCACGCGGUAAACGAUGAUUACUGGCUGUUUGCGAUACACAGUAAGCGGCCCAGCGAAAGCGUUAAGUAAUCCACCUGGGGAGUACGUUCGCAAGAAUGAAACUCAAAGGAAUUGACGG
rnacentral:rRNA from 1 species